rnacentral:rRNA from 1 species
UACGUAGGGCGCGAGCGUUGUCCGGAAUUAUUGGGCGUAAAGAGCUCGUAGGCGGUUUGUCGCGUCUGCUGUGAAAACCCGAGGCUCAACCCCGGACUUGCAGUGGGUACGGGCAGACUAGAGUGUGGUAGGGGAGACUGGAAUUCCUGGUGUAGCGGUGAAAUGCGCAGAUAUCAGGAGGAACACCGAUGGCGAAGGCAGGUCUCUGGGCAUUAACUGACGCUGAGGAGCGAAAGCAUGGGGAGCGAACAGG